GACGAACGCUGGCGACGUGCUUAACACAUGCAAGUCGAACGGAAAGGCCCUGCUUUUGUGGGGUGCUCGAGUGGCGAACGGGUGAGUAACACGUGAGUAACCUGCCCUUGACUUUGGGAUAACUUCAGGAAACUGGGGCUAAUACCGGAUAGGAGCUCCUGCUGCAUGGUGGGGGUUGGAAAGUUUCGGCGGUUGGGGAUGGACUCGCGGCUUAUCAGCUUGUUGGUGGGGUAGUGGCUUACCAAGGCUUUGACGGGUAGCCGGCCUGAGAGGGUGACCGGCCACAUUGGGACUGAGAUACGGCCCAGACUCCUACGGGAGGCAGAAGUGGGGAAUAUUGCACAAUGGGCGGAAGCCUGAUGCAGCAACGCCGCGUGCGGGAUGACGGCCUUCGGGUUGUAAACCGCUUUCGCCUGUGACGAAGCGUGAGUGACGGUAAUGGGUAAAGAAGCACCGGCUAACUACGUG
rnacentral:rRNA from 1 species